AGAAGUAAAAGUCGUAACAAGGUCUCCGUUGGUGAACCAGCGGAGGGAUCAUUACAGAGUUGCAAAACUCCCAAACCAUUGUGAACGUUACCUAUCCCGUUGCUUCGGCGGGCGGCCCGGGCCCCGCGCCCGGCGCCCCCCCGGCCCCCCGUGGGCGCCCGCCGGAGGUAAACCAAACCCUUGAAUUGCAUGGCCUCUCUGAGUCUUCUGUACUGAAUAAGUCAAAACUUUCAACAACGGAUCUCUUGGCUCUG
rnacentral:misc_RNA from 1 species